GCAAGAAUCACUUGCAUGCUGAUAAAAGCCAGGGAGGCUCAGAGAAGCUAGAAACAACUGGAUCAUCAACACAAACUACUGCACUCCACUGGAAUUGAACAAAGACCUUUGCUGAAAUGCCCUAGCCAGCAAGAAAUGGUAACAUUCAGAUGAGAGAUGACCUUCAAGCAAGUACUGGUUAGAGGUAAAGAAACUGAAGCACAAACAAGUUGGGUAAGCUGCACAAGUUUACAAAGAUAUUUAGAAAUUGCAUCAAGAAUGUCCUGGCAUUCAGACUAAUGCAUAGAAGAGCCUAGAUCAAGGAUGGUUAGCUACAACUGAAAAUAUGAGAAGAAGAAGGAA
rnacentral:lncRNA from 1 species